CAAACAAAUGCCACAACAUCUGUUCCAAAAAAAAACAACUUUGUGACUUUGUGUAGCUGAUUGGUCCAGUAAAAUGUGGGCAAGCACAACGGCAAGCUCAGGAAGGAAGCCCGCCAGCCACCUCACCAGCACAAACUCCUUCCCCCGCUCUAGUCCCUGAACACCAACAAAAUAUCUCCCCUUCCUCAUCCACAACCUCCCCCUCUCCAACCCCCUCACCCUCUCUUUCCCAAACACUCUCUCCGCCCCCCUCCCCCUCUGUGGCACAAAGCCCAUCUCAGCCCCCCUCCCCCUCUCUGACACAAACCCCCUCUCCGCCCCCCUCCCCUUCUGUGGCACAAAGCCCCUCUCCACCCCCCUCCCCCUCUCUGACACAAACCCCCUCUCCGGCCUACUACCCCUCUGUGGCCCAACCCACCUAUCAGCCCCCCUCCCCCUCUGUGGCCCAACCCACCUCUCCCCCACCCUCCCCCUCUCAAUCAGACCCACCCAGAGGAGGAUUGGCCAUAGAGUUUACAGGGAAGAUUCCCAGUGUGCCGACGCACCCGUGGGGCCUGUUUUGUUUGAGGACAUGUGGUCCUUUUUAUAGACAUAAUGAAUAAGAUGCAAAAUAAUUUGCAUAUAUGAAAAUUACUUUGCCACUUAGCCUGUGAUUGCAGAUGAUCUAGUGUAUGCUCUGUCUGCCUGCUUGGCUGACAUAUAAGAUUGAGUGAAUAGUGACUGGGAUACAGUUGGUGUAAUAAGCAAGAAAAUAUAUCUUUCUAAAGAAUGAUAUAGUUUCCUAAAUUCUGAAGGUGUAUCAUAUAAUGUGCUCAUAAUAUUUAAUUGUAUUUAUUUUUAACUUCCCCCUUGAUGCUGGACAUGCCCACUAUCUGUAAAGUCUUGGAGGAAGGGUGCUGCUGCCAGGGCCCAUGGCUAGACCUUACACCUCUGGUGCUGCCCAUGUGGGGCCACUAGUACAAAUUUUUCCAGGGCCGCUUUUUGUUCCCAAUCUGCCCCUGGACCCACCCUCUGGAACCAGCUCCCCCUUUCAUCCUCCUUCCCCAAUCCAGACUCCUUCCCCCAUCCAGCCUUCUUCCCCCAUCCAGCCUCAUUCCCCACCAACUGAAUGGGCAGCAGAGGCCCCGGAGGAACUUCAGGGAGGUGCACAUGUGGCUGAGGAGAAUGUUGCCGUUGGAGAUCCCACCAGUUUGCCAGGGAUUGUGGCAAGCCUUAAAGGCAACUUGAGGGCCGUGAUUGCGGACCUGGAAAAAUUAGAACAAUUUUUCUAAUUUUAAAAAUGUUACAUUUUGAUUAUAGUUCUUUGCCCGAAAAACUGUGAAUAAAGCAAAAAAUUGUUGUUUAAGUUAA